GGAUGGUCAUGAUGCGAGUAUGACGAAAAUUAUUAAAUUAAAAACUGAUUAAGUGACGCAGACGCUUCAGAAAAUAUCGAAUUUCAAUUUUUCAAAUACUACAUUGAACUCUGAUGUCGUGUGUUACACCUUACCGUUCAUCUUGUUUACUGUGUUGACCUUUCGUGUCCGUUCAGUGAUAUUCAUUCAGUUUGUUCAGUACGAUGGCCUCCGUGUGGGAAAGUUGUAGGUGCACCUACCGAGACUGAUGUGGAACUAUUACAAUUUUUACAUAAUAAUGGAGAAAAUUUAUUCUUUUUAUGAGAACACCCUGUGUUACCAAGAAAAGUGAAGUCCCCCUAGUGUGAUAGGUCAGAUCGACAUCAAUAAGUGGCUCAAGAAUUGUUUAAGAAAGCCCCCCAGUUCAUGAAGUUUCCAAUCAUCAUAUUAUAUGAAGUUGUUGAAAUGUUAAAUUCUUCCCAGAAAAACAAUGAAAUAAGGAAAAGACCAGAUCAAGUAUACUUGUUCAUGUGCGAUCUCUUCUUCCCAAUGAACACCAUAUUCUUUGGAAGCUUGAAAUUCAAGUCAAUGGUCCCUGUGGGCUUUUUCCAUAUGAAUAGGUGUCACCUACUGAAUAAUAAUAA